GUAUAGUAUAGCUCAGUGCAUUCCGCAAUUGCAGUCGGACGCCUUUUACUUUCACCUGUUAUAGAAGACGUUUCCACUUUAUUAAGUUUAUAUCAUGGUUAAUACAAGACACGAUUUUCAUACAGUUAACUGACCCCAUACAUUCCUUGACAAGUUUUAUUUGCUCAUGUGUACCGCAAAAAAUUGACAACUUUUCCUUGCACAGGAACCUUGUU
rnacentral:lncRNA from 1 species